CGCGUAGGCGGUUGGAUAAGUCAGCUGUGAAAACCACGGGCUUAACUCGUGGCCUGCAGUUGAGACUGUCUGGCUUGAGUGUGGGGAGAGGAGAGUGGAAUUCCUGGUGUAGCGGUGAAAUGCGUAGAUAUCAGGAGGAACACCGGUGGCGAAGGCGGCUCUCUGGACCACAACUGACGCUGAGGCGCGAAGCUAGGGAGCAAACA
rnacentral:rRNA from 1 species